AUGAGACCAACUGAUUCGCCAUUUUGGAAGGGGCUUAUGAGAGUUAAGUCAGCCUUCUUUAAUAGAACAAAGUUUAUAGUCGGAGCUGGUAACGAUACUCGCUUCUGGGAGGACACUUGGCUUGGUGAGACACCUUUGGCAUUACAGUACCCAUCUCUGUAUCAUAUUGUGAAUCGCCGUGACGCGCUUGUGGCGACGAUUAUGCAGGCCACCCCUCUUAAUAUUCAGUUUAGGAGGGUGCUUGUUGGUAAUAGAUGGGAAGCUUGGCUUCAUCUAGUGCGUAGACUGAUGGAGGUUCAGCUACAACAUCAGCCCGAUCAGUUGUGUUGGAAACUUACUAGGUCUGGACAAUUUACCGUUAAAUCGAUGUACAUCGAUGUUAUUAACUCGAGUGUCAUUCCUAACUCCAAACAUGUUUGGAAAGUCAAAGUUCCUUUGAAAAUCAAAGUGUUUAUGUGGUUUGUCCAUAAACAGGUUAUUCUAACAAAGGACAACUUGUUAAGCGCAAUUGGACAGGAUCUAUUAGGUGUAGUUUCUGUGAUCGGGAUGAAACCAUCAAGCAUCUAUUCUUUGAGUGCCCGUUGGCAAGGAUUUUGUGACGCUCAGUGCAAAUUGCUUUUAACAUUACUCCUCCGAGUUCGGUCGGGUCCUUAUUUGGAACGUGGCUGGAUGGGAUAG
rnacentral:rRNA from 1 species